rnacentral:rRNA from 1 species
GNNNNNNANNNNCGGAUGCUAGUACACGUGGACACCUACCCUUGGGUCUGGCAUAAUCCUGGGAAACUGGGUAUAAUUCCAGAUAGGUCACAGAUGCUGGAAUGCACUGUGGCCGAAAGCUCCGGCGCCCAAGGAUGGGUCUGCGGCCUAUCAGGGUUGUAGUGGGUGUAACGGACCUACUAGCCUACGACGGGUACGGGUUGUGAGAGCAAGAGCCCGGAGAUGGAUUCUGAGACACGAAUCCAGGCCCUACGGGGUGCAGCAGGCGCGAAAACUUUACAAUGCGGGAAACCGUGAUAAGGGAAUCUCGAGUGCCAGCAUAUAAUGUUGGCUGUCCAGAUGCCUAAAAAGCAUCUGUUAGCAAGGGCCGGGCAAGACCGGUGCCAGCCGCCGCGGUAACACCGGCGGCCCGAGUGGUAACCGCUUUUAUUGGGUCUAAAGGGUCUGUAGCCGGCCAAGUAAGUCCCUUGGGAAAUCUGGCAGCUUAACUGUCAGGCUGCUAGGGGAUACUGCUAGGCUUGGGACCGGGAGAGGUGAGAGGUACCUUGGGGGUAGGGGUGAAAUCUUGUGAUCCUCGGGGGACCACCAGUGGCGAAGGCGUCUCACCAGAACGGGUCCGACGGUAAGGGACGAAAGCUAGGGGCACGAACCGGAUUAGAUACCCGGGUAGUCCUAGCCGUAAACGAUGCUCGCUAGGUGUCAGUCACGGUGCGACCGUGAUUGGUGCCGUAGGGAAGCCGUGAAUCGAGCCACCUGGGAAGUAUGGCCGCAAGGCUGAAACUUAAAAGGAAUUGGCGGGGGAGCACUACAACGGGUGGAGCCUGCGGUUUAAUUGGAUUCAACGCCGGAAAUCUCACCGGGGGCGACAGCGAUAUGAAGGUCAGGCUGAAGACCUUACCCGAUUAGCUGAGAGGUGGUGCAUGGCCCGUCGUCAGUUCGUACUGUGAAGCAUCCUGUUAAGUCAGGCAACGAGCGAAGACCCGAU